AUCGAUUGGAAACCUUGAGCAACUGGUAUAGAGAGAUGCUAUGUAAUCCUACACGAAGUAGGACUCUUUUUCUAUUAUUUUGAUACAGAAGUAUAAUAUCUUUGUUAUAGCGACGGAAGACUUGCAUCAUCCACCCAUCAUCUCAAGCCCUCCGGAUAAUAAUAUAUAUAUCGAAAUACAUCUAAAUGGAGAAACAUAUACACCAUAAGAUUCUUAUCACAACACCUUGGAGAUGCUUCAUGGCUUGUGAUGUCCCCUGGUGUUGCACAACAGGGACCCAAGAGCAUGAUAGUUGACGUACCGGCUUGGGGCCGAGGGUGGCGGCCUGAAACCCCUUGGCUUGCAACCCCCGACCUCCCUACUGCGAAAGAAUCCAUGCUUGUGAUGGGGUUGAGUCUGCAACGUGACAUACUCACCAUGCUUUGAAUCCAGUGGCCUCAUCGUGGUUGCAACCCAUGUUGAGGAAUUCCCAGUGACUCGGAGCCCUAGAGGGGACAGUAGUAUCAGGAAGAGGAAGGCCAUGGUGAGAGGGGUAGGCAUUUGAGGUAGGACUAGUGGUUUGUGGUGUGGGGAUGGGAAGUGGGGUUAAAAG
rnacentral:lncRNA from 1 species